AUUGAACGCUGGCGGCAGGCCUAACACAUGCAAGUCGAACGGCACCACAGAAGAGCUUGCUCUUUGGGUGGCGAGUGGCGGACGGGUGAGUAAUGUCUGGGAAACUGCCCGAUGGAGGGGGAUAACUACUGGAAACGGUAGCUAAUACCGCAUAACGUCGCGAGACCAAAGUGGGGGACCUUCGGGCCUCACACCAUCGGAUGUGCCCAGAUGGGAUUAGCUAGUAGGUGGGGUAAUGGCUUACCUAGGCGACGAUCCCUAGCUGGUCUGAGAGGAUGGCCAGCCACACUGGAACUGAGACACGGUCCAGACUCCUACGGGAGGCAGCAGUGGGGAAUAUUGCACAAUGGGCGCAAGCCUGAUGCAGCCAUGCCGCGUGUAUGAAGAAGGCCUUCGGGUUGUAAAGUACUUUCAGCGGGGAGGAAGGCGGUGAGGUUAAUAACCUCGCCGAUUGACGUUACCCGCAGAAGAAGCACCGGCUAACUCCGUGCCAGCAGCCGCCGUAA
rnacentral:rRNA from 1 species